rnacentral:lncRNA from 1 species
CAGGCCCUCCCAGAGUCCAGGGCCAGAGAACUCUGUGUUCCUGGGAAGGGUGGAGCCUCUGACAGAGGGAAGGCGGGGGUGCAGGUGAAGAGGGCAGGCCAGAGGAGGGGAUUGGCAGACCAGAGGAUCUUCAGCCACCAGGGAGUAGAGGAGUAGGAUUGAAGUGGCCCCAAGAAGCCUGAGUUUCCCUGGAGCCAUUUGGCACCGAGGCUCCCAGCAGGAACUUGUACAUUCUUCUGUCCUUCUGUAGCUCAAACCCCAGUGUGACAUGACUUGUCUGCUGAUGUCACUACCGAUCCCUCUGGAUGGUUCCUUCUGUUCACAGUGCCUCACUCAGGGCAAUCAAACUCAGUGCCAUGGCUUCAGUGAGGGCACAAAGCUCUGAUAAGCAAAGGCACGUAUAAGAAAUUUGCAAAUUCUUCUUCCCUGCUCAGGAUGUUGGGAGAAAGGGCAGCAGCUUCCACGCCGGCUGUCCUUACCUGCUCUCCAACUUUAUCUCAUUGUACUUUUCACUAUCAUCCUGGCCUUCCGCCAGUCCCUAGGAAUGCCAGGCUCCCUCCUGCCCAGGAGUCUUUGCUCAGGCCGGUCCUCCUCCUGGUCAAGAAGAGCAAGUGGUCCGAGAAGCCACUGUGAGAGGGGAACACGGAAGCUUUGAUUUGAAGGAAGAGGAGAGAUCGUCCUAGAUAGAAUGUACAGAAGCCCCGGGUCAUUUAAGUCCAGGAGAAAAAUCUCCACAGCUUGGAGGGGAUGGUGACAGCUCUUACUGAUGACAACCAGGGGCUCAGGAAUAGACCUCGAAUGUUCCACAUGGCAGGUGUCAG